rnacentral:rRNA from 1 species
UACGAAGGGGGCUAGCGUUGCUCGGAAUCACUGGGCGUAAAGCGCACGUAGGCGGACUCUUAAGUCAGGGGUGAAAUCCUGGAGCUCAACUCCAGAACUGCCUUUGAUACUGGGAGUCUUGAGUUCGGGAGAGGUGAGUGGAACUGCGAGUGUAGAGGUGAAAUUCGUAGAUAUUCGCAAGAACACCAGUGGCGAAGGCGGCUCACUGGUCCGAUACUGACGCUGAGGUGCGAAAGCGUGGGGAGCAAACAGG